AAUGCUGUGAUGAGGUGAAACACUAUAUGGUGUAUUUGGGCAGUGGAAUUAGAAGGUUAUUUUUAUAGCUUUCUCCGUGAGCCUAUUUUAUUAAACGACUUCUCCUUCCACUGAGCAUU
rfam:Solanum lycopersicum cultivar Heinz 1706 chromosome 5, whole genome shotgun sequence.